rnacentral:lncRNA from 1 species
GUUGGUCAAGCAAACUGAUUCAUUUAAUUUUUGUAAGUGUAUUUGUGUAUUGGCAAUUCCGGGUCAAAAUUCCCAUUGUGUCUCAUAGCUCAUACUCUUCAAAUCCUUCCUUGGACACUUGCCUUUUCCAAAUUGUUUGUGUUUGAAGAUGGCUAGAGGAGUUGGUAAGUGCAUUUAAGGUAUCGGAUGACGGAAAACAUUGAUCAACCUUGUUUUAAACUCUUAUCAUUUUAUUAAAAAAUGGAGUGGUUGCAUAAGGAGUGUAAAAUAUAAUGUUUAAAUCAUUUGAAUCGAUUUUUGAUCAAUCAAACUUAAGGGUAACAGUUUCUGCUAUACCCAAUUCUUUUUAAUCUUCUCUGAUCAAUCAAACUUUGAUCACAUCUACAUUCCUUCAACUUUUUCUCAAGUCAUUCUCAACCGUUGGAUGGGUUUUAAAACCCUAAUACUUAAGCUUUCAGAAGAAGAGAGGCAGCUGUGAGAGUGAAAACCUAGUUCUGAGCUUCAAGUUUUUCUUACCAAAUUGGGGAGAGUUUGCCUUAAGAGAAAAUCACUUGUGUUUGAGUUGAAAAACAUUUUUGAGUGAGAAAUUUUUGUUUCAAAUGGGUUGAUUCAUGGUGUUAUUCAUCCUUGCUCUCAUAUUGCUCUCAUAUUCAACAUAUUUGGGGUAAAACCCAAGUUUCUUCUUGUGUGGACUCAAGAAGAGGCUGAGAUCAAAGCUUGGAGUGGAUUCCAAGUAUUUUCCAAAAGAAGAAAGGUGGUAUCUGAAGCUUAAAGGUUCUAGGCAAGUAAUUGGGGAGAGGAUAGAAGGCUUGGUCUAGGUAAAUCCUAGUACUCAACUAAUUUUUCUUCAUAGUGGAUCAUUUGAUUGCUUGAGGCCCUUGGUAUUUUUAUCUCUUCAGAGGUUUUCCACGUUAAAAAAUUGAUGUCAUUGUCUCUUUAUUCUAUCUCAUCUUUUGAUAAGUAUUUCA